ACAUACGGCCACAGUAUCCUGAGAAAUUGUCGAUCCCGUCCGAUCUCGUUUACAUAAGCAGGAUAACGGCAGAUUAGUAGUUGGGUCGGUGACGACCAGCGAACACCAGCUGCUGUAUGUU
rnacentral:rRNA from 1 species